rnacentral:rRNA from 1 species
GUGGGGAAUAUUGCACAAUGGGGGAAACCCUGAUGCAGCAACGCCGCGUGAGUGAUGAAGGUCUUCGGAUUGUAAAGCUCUGUCUUUUGGGACGAUAAUGACGGUACCAAAGGAGGAAGCCACGGCUAACUACGUGCCAGCAGCCGCGGUAAUACGUAGGUGGCGAGCGUUGUCCGGAAUUACUGGGCGUAAAGGAUGCGUAGGCGGAUAUUUAAGUCAGAUGUGAAAUACCCGGGCUUAACUUGGGUGCUGCAUUUGAAACUGGAUAUCUAGAGUGCGGGAGAGGAAAGUGGAAUUCCUAGUGUAGCGGUGAAAUGCGUAGAGAUUAGGAAGAACACCAGUGGCGAAGGCGACUUUCUGGACCGUAACUGACGCUGAGGCAUGAAAGCGUGGGUAGCAAACAGGAUUAGAUACCCCAGUAGUCC